CGUUUCUUAUUAUAAAAGAAUUUGAUUUAUUUGUUCUUAAGUGGGUGGAAGUGACGACUAUUUGACUAACCGAAUAAGAGAACUCGUAUUCAAAUAAUCGAGGAGAGGAAUUGAAAACUCAAAGCCAUCCCCCUUUUCAUUUCCAAAUGAAAUGUUGUUUGAUUGUGAUUGGAUACGUUCUUUUAAUUUUUAAUGAAAAUACUCGACAUCGGAUCAAGGUUUUAAUUUUGUGUUUUAUGAAUAGAUUGGACUUUAUUUUAGUGAAUUGUUCAUUUACUCGAUUAUUCAAAAACCGAAUAGGUCUCAUUGUAAGAAAACCCAAGAGUAAGCUAUGUGAGGUUGAUGGCGAUGCUUUAAAAGCGAUCGACUUACAAAGGAUUUGUUUUGAGAGGGGGCUUGAUGUUAAAUCAAGAAUUGUGUGAUUUGUGUUUGUGGUUUGAAUGGUACGGAAUGUUAGUAAAGUUAUUUACAUGUGAGGAUGCAAACAUGAAUCAUCUAAAUAAUCAAUUAAACACAUGAGAUUGAUUAAACGAUUAAUUAAAUAAUUUGCUCAAUGAUUAGAAAAAUAAUUAAUUAUCUAAAAAAUAAUCAAUUAAAAAAAAUCCAUUUAUCAAAAUAUGAAUCAAAUUAAUAACUAUCUAAAAUUAAGAAAAUGGAGUUAUUUACAAAAUGUCAUCUAUAAUAAUUAAAUUACUUAGGUAAUCAUUUAAAUAUAAUUUGUUACUUAAUGAGUAAAUAACUUUUUAAAAAAUUAGAAAGUAUUUCUUCCUAUACUAGCUAUACCACAUACUAAUUUCCGGUUCUCGUCGAUCUAGUAAAUUAUAUAGGUUAUUCUUGCUUUGUAACAAUGUAAAAUUCUCAUAACAAUCCUAAACAAGACUAUAAUAAAACCAACUGAGGUCAAAUAAAAACGUUUUAAAAAAAUUAGAAUGAUGGUAGUAUAAAUGAUAUAACUUUGUGUCUCUCAUUCCCAUUUACUAUACCUAAUAUGCCAUUAACAAACAUAAAGACAUUCACAUGAUAUGGAUUAACAAAACGGUGAUUAAAAGGAAGAAAAAUAAAUAAGCAGUGCUAAUUAAAAGUGAUAGCAGCAGGAAACUGAAGUAAAACACAUUUUAAAAUGAUAGUAAACACUUUUCUCCUAGAGUUACCACAAACAACAGCAUUUAGGUUAAUCACUAUAAAACAUGAAUAUGACACUGAUGCAAUGAUAAGGAAAACAAAUCGAAACACAAGAAAGGCUUGUAUCAAAGCAGCACAAACAUAAUGCAACCCAAAUCUCGUCCAAGAUGCAAUGAUAAUGAAAACAAAUUGAAAUACAAGAAAGGCUUUUAGGGAGAAUAAUAAAAAAAAAACUAUAACAGUAGCAAUACCAAAACAAUACGUAAUAUAACCGAAGCCUCAUAUGAAUCCUCCAUAAAAUCAAAUUUUAGCAGCAAGCAUACUAACAUAAUAAUGUGCCAAAAUAAGAACAACUUAUAAUCAUUUAAAAAGUUAUUGCAAUAUCGACAUAAAUCCAACAUUUAUUCUGAAACACAUUAUGUCAUAAAAUAUAUGGAAUCGAAACAAAUUUAUGCAGUAAAGCCAAUACGUAAUGCAAUCCUAUAUUGAAACAAAGUUUGGAGUUAUAAACGUGAUUCAAUAACUAAAACAGAAUCAAAAUAUGAAACCAUUUGUAAUAGUAUUUUCGGUUCAAAAUAUUACCGAAUGCAGAACCGUGAGCGCUAUUU
rnacentral:lncRNA from 1 species